UCUGGGAGUGCUCAGCCAGCCAGCCGGGGACACACGUGGCAGAUGCUGACAGCGUCGGUGGGGAAUGAGAGACGCGAGAAGGAAGCACUGAUUAGACACAGCUCGGUGACACAUCAGGGCUCAUCUCACGUGUGCUGGGACGGGAGCCGGCAGUUGCAUGUGAAAUCAUUUGGGUUUUCUCAGAAACACCAAGCUGUGCUGAGGAGAAAGGCCCUGUUGGUUUUUCUGGUAGUUCACAGCCUGUGUGGGUCCGGCAAGCAGUGAUGGACAGAUUUCAAAGGCCAGCUCUGGCUGUGCGAAGUGAGACUGGAUACUACUGAAGAGCGGCCCUCGUCCAGCUCCUGGCUGCCUCGCUGAAUCAUUCUUCUACGAAGAGGUUAAUGAACUUGUGAUUGGUAAAUCCUGCUCACUCCCCCCCCCAAAAGCAGAAAAUCCUUAAGUGUACCAUGAUCAUUCCGGAAGUCAUUGCCAUUCUCCAUGAAUAAAGCUCACCCUUCAGCCAGACCUCAGCGUUCCCCGCGAGCGAGAGAUGCAGAGAAGCUGUUCUGGACUGUG